ensembl:misc_RNA Metazoa_SRP Metazoan signal recognition particle RNA
GCCGGGUGCGGUGGCGCGUGCCUGUAAUCCAAGCUACUGGGAGGCUGAGGCUGGCGGAUCGUUUGAGCUCAGGGGUUCUGGGCUGCAGUGGGCUAUGCCGAUCGGGUGUCCGCACUAAGUUCGGUAUCGAUAUGGUGCUCCUGAGGGAGCUCGGGACCACCAGGUCGCCUAAGGAGGGGUGAACCGGCCCAGGUCGGGAACGGAGCAGGUCAAAGCCCUCGUGCCGAUCAGUAGUGGGAUCGCGCCUGUGAAUAGACACUGCCGUGCAGCCUGAGUAAUACAGCGGGACUCAGUCUUUU